AGUGAACGCUGGCGGCAGGCCUAACACAUGCAAGUCGAACGGCAGCACAGCAGUAGCAAUACUGUGGGUGGCGAGUGGCGGACGGGUGAGGAAUACAUGGGAAUCUGCCCUGUCGUGGGGGAUAACGUAGGGAAACUUACGCUAAUACCGCAUACGACCGAGAGGUGAAAGCGGCGGACCGCAAGGCGUCGCGCGAUUGGAUGAGCCCAUGUCGGAUUAGCUAGUUGGCGGGGUAAAGGCCCACCAAGGCGACGAUCCGUAGCUGGUCUGAGAGGAUGAUCAGCCACACUGGAACGGAGACACGGUCCAGACUCCUACGGGAGGCAGCAGUGGGGAAUAUUGGACAAUGGGCGCAAGCCUGAUCCAGCCAUGCCGCGUGAGUGAAGAAGGCCUUCGGGUUGUAAAGCUCUUUUGUCCGGAAAGAAAAGCCUUCGGUUAAUACCCGGGGGUGAUGACGGUACCGGAAGAAUAAGCACCGGCUAACUUCGUGCCAGCCGCCGCGGUAACAC
rnacentral:rRNA from 1 species